rnacentral:rRNA from 1 species
UAGGGAAUAUUAGAAAUGGACGAAAGUCUGAUCUAGCAACACCGCGUGUGCGAAGAAGGCCUUCGGGUCGUAAAGCACUUUUUGGAAGGAAUAGGAAGGAAUGUACUUCCAGAAUAAGUCUCGGCUAACUACGUGCCAGCAGCCGCGGUAACACGUAGGAGGCGAACGUUAUCCGGAUUUACUGGGCGUAAAGCGCGUGUAGGUGGUACUGUAAGUAGGGCGUGAAAGCUCCUGGCUCAACUGGGAGAGGCCGUUCUAAACUACAGGACUAGAGGAUGGUAGAGGGAGGUGGAAUUCCAGGUGUAGCGGUGGAAUGCGCAGAUAUCUGGAGCAACACCGGUGGCGAAGGCGGCCACCUGGGCCAUUCCUGACACUCAGACGCGAGAGCUAGGGUAGCAAACGG